GAUCGUCGAUUGAUCGCAAUUCGCAAUUCGCUAAUCGCUUUUGGCAAACACUGUUUUGUAUCCUAUUCAGCAGUAUAUUUAAAUAAUUGCAAGCAAUGCAAUAAAAGUAUAAAAUGUGUCAUUAUUAAGUAGUAGUUUAUAGAGAAACAGAAAUUUUGAAAACAUACCAUGUCUGAAGAUAAUAAUGAUAUUGAAUACUUAAUAACUACACUUGGAACAUUUUUAAUACUGGCAUUGGUGUGUUGUAUCUGCUGUUUUUGCAUGAAAAUCAGUGAUAUGAAACUGAGGAACUAUAUACUAGAGUUGGCAAAGAAGAGCAAUGUUAAUGUGGAUCUUGAGAAACUAAAACCAACCAAUACUACCUGUCAGUCUCCAUAUGCUAAUGAGAACUGUACAAUUGUCAUCCCUGAUGUUGCCAUAGUUCUAUAGAUCGAUGAGAAUCCAAGUAAUAUUAAUUUUAGUGAAAUUAUCCUUACCACACAAUAUGAUUG